CAGCCGUAAACUAUGCGCGUUAGGUGUAUCGGUGACCACGAGUUACCGAGGUGCCGAAGGGAAACCGUGAAACGUGCCGCCUGGGAAGUACGGUCGCAAGGCUGAAACUUAAAGGAAUUGGCGGGGGAGCACCACAACAGGUGGAGCCUGCGGUUUAAUUGGACUCAACGCCGGGAAGCUCACCGGAUAGGACAGCAGAAUGAUUGCCGGGCUGAAGACCCUGCAUGACUCGCUGAGAGGAGGUGCAUGGCGUAGACGUCU
rnacentral:rRNA from 1 species